AUUGCUUGUUAAUAGGAGGUGUAAACAGGGUCUCAGAGACAGUAAGGGGCGUUUCAUCAUGCGGUUUAUAUUUAGAUGCUGAUUGGUGGAAAAUAAGGUCCAGUUUCAGUGAAGAAGAGAAGUGUGGGUGGUUUCAACACACUAACCCUCCUCGGCAGGAAGUUUCUGUGGUCGGUCUCUGUGGUUUAGUUCUCCUCUCUUUCUCUCUCGUCUGUUUCCCACGCUGGUCUGCUGGUGAUGGAGGGUUCUGGGUUCCUCUGGGUUCUCCUGCUGUGUGGACGGGUUCUGCUGGUCAGCAGUGAGUUUCAGUGUGUGAGUGUGAAAGAGAAAGAACGUGCAACUCUUCCCUGUGGAAAACUCACUAAAGGUAAAGUGACCUGGAGCAGAGAAAUCAACGGACAGAGAGAGAGCAUUCUGACCACUCACAACGGAGAGAUAACCCAAAAGGUCUCUGAUCCAGACAGAUGUUACAGUUCAGGAGCUAAUAUAGUACUGAUUAUACAGAAAGUCUCACAGUCAGACGCUGGAAGAUACAACUGUAAUGAAUCUACAGUGGAACUGAUCGUGAAUGGAAUCUGCACAGUCAGCUCAAUCACAUCUGCGACAACUAAAGCAUCAACUACGCAAACAACAAUAUUUACAACCAGAUCCAAUACAUCUACAACUGCAACACCAACUACGCAAUCGAAAAAAUCGUCCACCAGAUCCAACACAUCUACAACAUCAACUAAGCAAUCAACAAAAUCCUUAAUCACAUCCACCAUGUCUACAACUGCAACAACAUCUACACAACCAAGAACAACUUUAACCAGUACUGUACCGGAAAACUCAACUCAAGCAGGUCUGCGGAUGGCGCUGAUCACAGCCGGAGGAUGUGUGGUUGCUGUGCUCCUGAUUGUGUUGCUAUGGAGAUGCUUCUUUAAAAGAAAAGUGAACCCUAUAGACCAAACCGAGGAGCACUUCUACGACACCAUCGCCGACACCACAGCAUCUCCACAACCGAGUGAGUUCACUAUUCUCUUUCAGUUUUUAUCAGAUUAUAUUAUUCAGAUU
rnacentral:lncRNA from 1 species